rnacentral:rRNA from 1 species
CGUCGCGGCCAUAGUGGGAGGGUUCCACCCAGACUCGUCAGAUCCUGGAAGUUAAACCUCCCAACGCGCUUCCAAGUACUGGGCUCCGCGAGGGCCCGGGAAAGGAGCGUGCUGCGAUGG